rnacentral:rRNA from 1 species
AACGAACGCUGGCGGCAUGCCUAACACAUGCCAGUCGAACGAGACCUUCGGGUCGAGUGGCGCACGGGUGCGUAACGCGUGGGAACCUGCCCUUAGGUUGGGAAUAGCUCGCCGGAAGGGGUGCUAAUACCGGAUAAGGUCGUCGUACCAAAGAUUUAUCGCCUUUGUAUGGGCCCGCGUUUGAUUCGCUAGUUGGUAGGGUAAAAGCCUACCAAGGCGACGAUCCAUAGCUGGUCUGAGAGGAUGAUCAGCCACACUGGGACUGAGACACGGCCCAGACUCCUACGGGAGGCAGCAGUGGGGAAUAUUGGACAAUGGGCGAAAGCAUGAUCCAGCAAUGCCGCGUGAGUGAUGAAGGCCUUAGGGUUGUAAAGCUCUUUUACCCGGGAAGAUAAUGACGGUACCGGGAGAAUAAGCGCCGGCUAACUCCGUG